rnacentral:rRNA from 1 species
AAAGGGUGCGUAGGCGGCCUGUUAAGUCAGCGGUGAAAUCUAGGAGCUUAACUCCUAAAUUGCCAUUGAUACUGGCGGGCUUGAGUGUAGAUGAGGUAGGCGGAAUGCGUGGUGUAGCGGUGGAAUGCAUAGAUAUCACGCAGAACUCCGAUUGCGAAGGCAGCUUACUAAGGUACAACUGACGCUGAAGCACGAAAGCGUGGGUAUCAAACAGGAUUAGAUACCCUGGUAGUCCACGCAGUAAACGAUGAUAACUGGGCGUAUGCGAUAUACAGUAUGCUCCUAAGCGAAAGCGUUAAGUUAUCCACCUGGGGAGUACGCCGGCAACGGUGAAACUCAAAGGAAUUGACGGGGGCCCGCACAAGCGGAGGAACAUGUGGUUUAAUUCGAUGAUACGCGAGGAACCUUACCCGGGAUUGAAAUGUAGAUGACCGCUCCUGAAAGGGAGUUUUCCUUCGGGACAUCUAUGUAGGUGCUGCAUGGUUGUCGUCAGCUCGUGUCGUGA